rnacentral:lncRNA from 1 species
AAAGCCAUAAAACUCAUAUGCCCUUUAACCUUUUAAUUUCUAUGGGCCUCGUUUAUAUAUUGCACAACCUAAGAGGGAGAGUGAAUUGGGUUUUCUAAAAAUUUCACAUUUUAAAAACACAAGAUCAGAAUACUGUUCUAGUGGAAUUAGAAAGCGUUAGUAAGGAUCAGUUAUCAAGUUUAGAACUUCUCCACAAAGCUAUUGCAAGAUUAGAAAGACUCUGUGA